rnacentral:rRNA from 1 species
CUCUCGGCAACGGAUAUCUCGGCUCACGCAUCGAUGAAGAACGUAGCAAAAUGCGAUACUUGGUGUGAAUUGCAGAAUCCCGUGAACCAUCGAGUUUUUGAACGCAAGUUGCGCCCGAAGCCAUUCGGCCGAGGGCACGUCUGCCUGGGCGUCACGUAUUGCGU